rnacentral:rRNA from 1 species
GAUGAACGCUGGCGGCGUGCUUAACACAUGCAAGUCGAACGGAAAGGCCCAAGUUUCCCUGUGUUCGCGAGUGGAGAAGGGGUGAGAAACACGUGGGUGAUCUGCUGCGCACUUCGGGAUAAGCCUGGGAAACUGGGUAUAAUACCGGAGAGGACCACUUCUGGGAUGUUGUGGGGGAAAGUUUUUGGGGUGGGGUACGAGCGCGCGGCCUAUCCGCUUGUGGGGGGGGUAGUGGCCUACCAGGGCGGCGACGGGACCCGGGCUGGAGAGGGUGUAGGGCCACAUUGGGCCUGGGAUACGGCCCAGACUCCUACGGGGGGAGGAGGUGGGGAAUAUUGAAAAAUGGGGGAAGGCCUGAGGAAGCGACGCGGGGUGGGGGAUGACGGCUUUGGGGUGGUAAACCCCUUUCGCAAGGGACGAGGCGUUUUGUGACGGUACCUAGAGAAGAAGCACCGGCUAACUACGUG